rnacentral:lncRNA from 1 species
AUGGAUAGUCUAUUCAUGUUGAGACUAUAAGAAUCUAAUUAACCUUUUAGCAAGAUUUUAGAAACUAGUAGAUCAUUGUUAUGAGCAUAAAUUUAUUAAAAAUAUUAUUUCAAAUCUUUUACUAUUAUAGCAUAGUUUUAAAAUUAAUGUAAAGAGUAAAUGUUACUCUCCUUCUGAUAAAUUUUAUGGUAAUGAAUUAAUAAUAAUGAUCUCAUAUUUCUAUCUCUCAAUGAUGCAGUUCUUCAUGUUGAUGAGAAUAAGAAAUAAAUAUGUGAUGGUCUUAUAUCUCAGGGCAAACAAG